AACGAACGCUGGCGGCGUGCUUAAUACAUGCAAGUCGAACGUGAAGUGUAGCAAUACAUGGAAAGUGGCGAACGGGUGAGUAACACGUAAAUAAUCUACCUCUAAGUUUGGGAUAACCUUGCCAACGCGGGGCUAAUACCGGAUGUGGUCACGAAAACGCAUGUUUUUGUGAUUAAAGAUGCAAAUCGCUUAGGGAUGAGUUUGCGGCCCAUUAUGCUUGUUGGUGAGGUAACGGCUCACCAAGGCUGCGAUGGGUAGCCGGCCUGAGAGGGUGAACGGCCACAUUGGGACUGAGAUACGGCCCAGACUCCUACGGGUGGCUG
rnacentral:rRNA from 1 species